rnacentral:rRNA from 1 species
UACGUAGGGUGCAAGCGUUGUCCGGAAUUAUUGGGCGUAAAGAGCUCGUAGGCGGCUUGUUGCGUCAGCUGUGAAAACCCGCAGCUCAACUGUGGGCUUGCAGCUGAUACGGGCAGGCUCGAGUUCGGUAGGGGAGACUGGAAUUCCUGGUGUAGCGGUGAAAUGCGCAGAUAUCAGGAGGAACACCGGUGGCGAAGGCGGGUCUCUGGGCCGAUACUGACGCUGAGGAGCGAAAGCGUGGGGAGCGAACAGG